GCUGCAGUGAGCCGAGAUCGCACCACUGUGCUGCAGCCUGGGCAACAGAGUGAGAACAAAACCCCAGCUCUAGGUGUGCCCUCGGCCCCUCCAGGCAGCCUGUGUCCUCUCCCCAGGAUUUAAGAUCAUGCCGCUCUUGUUUUGGGCUUUUUCAGGACAGUUAACUCUUAGGAAGAAGGGACCUCCAAACCUCUAAGUCGCCAAACCACCGCACCGCCCUGGGUGGAAGAAACCGCUUCGGCAGCAGAGGAAACAGCAGCUUCGCAGAGCAGCCUGGCCCGAGUGGCUACACCGGGUCUGUCUGGUCUCAGCUCUGGCCUCUGAGUCAUUAGCGUUGUUUUCUUCUGAGGCCAGGGCUUCAGAUUAGUCAGGGGCUCCUGUUUCCUGGCUGAUAAAGCAGGUGGAAGAAACACAAUCUGGCCGCCUAGAGGCUGCGUGAAGCUCGUGACCCUGCGGGGUGACUAACGGAGCUCAGCUGGGUGGGACCAGAAACCACGUCUGGGCACUCCUGAGUCACAGGCUCAGAAGCUUUCGCCUCCGCCUUCAGACUGGCCCUCAGGCUUCCCUGCUCAGAGGCAGGGAAUUGUGCAGCUGGAGUUUCAUUUUCCAAGAGGCAGGGUCUCAGUCUGUCACCCAGGCUGGAGUACAGUGGCACCAUCUUGGCUCACUCUAGCCUCGACCUCCUGGGCUCAAGUGAGCCUCCUACCUCAGUCUCCCAAAAUGCUGGGAUUACAAGCAUGAACCACUGUGACUUGCCUUCUUGGCAAUUUUAAAUGAAAGAAGAAGAUGGAAUAAUGCCUACUGAGGACUAUGUUUGAGGGGUGUUGUAUGACCCCGUUUUCCAUACCCAGCCAACUUGUCAUGUGACAAGUCCACAGAAAGAUGUUAUAUGACAGGAAUCUAUGAACUAGUCUUCCCUGAAAUGUACCUGACUACAGCUAACAUCAUAUCACAUGAUGAAAGACCGCGUUGUUUUCCCCUGAGGUUGGCAGGACUCCUACUUGUCAGAUGCUCCACCUCCUACAGAGAAGUUCUGUGUCCUUCGUCUUCUGGUGCAUGGUUCCCUUUUAUUUGUGUUGUAAUCUUUGUUAUGCUCUAGAUUGUUUUCUCUGCUGUAUAUUC
rnacentral:lncRNA from 1 species